rnacentral:rRNA from 1 species
UGGGGAAUUUUGGACAAUGGGGGGAACCCUGAUCCAGCAACGCCGCGUGAAUGAAGAAGGCCUUAGGGUUGUAAAGUUCUUUUGUUAGGGAGCAAAGUUUACGUGCUAAUACCAUGUAGAGCUGAGAGUACCUAAAGAAUAAGCACCGGCUAACUACGUGCCAGCAGCCGCGGUAAUACGUAGGGUGCGAGCGUUAAUCGGAAUUACUGGGCGUAAAGGGUGCGUAGGCGGGUAUAUAAGUUAGGAGUGAAAUCCCCGAGCUCAACUUGGGAAUAGCUUUUAAGACUGUAUGUCUAGAGUCAGAUAGAGGGGGGUAGAAUUCCAAGUGUAGCAGUGAAAUGCGUAGAGAUUUGGAGGAAUACCGAUGGCGAAGGCAGCCCCCUGGGUCAUGACUGACGCU